GCAUAUUCACAAGUUGUAUCAUCUUUCUUGUUCAUGUUGGUAGUUUAGAUAUUUACAACUAAUUAAUUUGCUAUUUCCAUACCAGAUGAGUUUUCAGUGAUGUACAUCCUCCCAUGUUGAAAAUUUGAACUACCUACAUAUUCUGCUGUGAAGGUUCUAAUAUCACCGUGCCCUUUGAUGGUUUCCUACAAAAGGAUACACGAGGUUGUAGGAAGUUUAUGGGAAGUGAAAUAGUUUAAAGUGGAGGUCAUUAUGCAUUAUAUGCUGCCCGAAAGUUGAUCUCAGGAGAUUGAGGAGGCUGCUUUUGGCUGAAGAUGUACAUCCAUUUUGCAAAUAAUUAGAAUUGAUGGAUUGCUGUCCAUUCAUGUUAUGUGCAAACCUACAUCAUUUGUAUAUAUUUCAUUUUAAGAUAAGACUGAAAUCAGUAGGAAUUUAUUGUAACUAGCAGUAACCAAAAGAGUACUUGAUGGAUUUGUUAAUGUACAUUCCAAUAUGUUGGGCGAAGCCAGUAUAUGCAGUUCAUGUGUUA